AGCAGGAAUCUAAUUCUAUCUCUUGCUUAACACAAGAAGAUUAUGUAAUUAGUUUCUUUAAGAAUCACUAUAAUAUUUAUUUUGAAAAUAAUAAAAUUAAAGUGGUUUCCUUAUCAAUGGUCUCUUUCAGUUACAUGUAGAUAUUUCUAUAAAUUAUAUCGAGCAAAAUGUGAAUACCAUAGGUUCUAAACAUCCUAGAGAUAGUGUAAAUGAAAAGUAUUUGUGGUAUAUAAAGCUAGGUCAUAUUGGAGAAGAUAGGAUUAAUAGAUUGGAGAAAAUCGGAUUGUUAGAUCUGAUGACUUUUGAGAUAUCUGAUUCAUGAA
rnacentral:lncRNA from 1 species